rnacentral:tRNA from 1 species
GGGGCUGUAGCUCAGUGGCAGAGUGCUUGCCUAGCAUGCAUGAGGCACUGGGUUCAAUCCUCAGCACCA